rnacentral:rRNA from 1 species
UCAGUCCUACGGGGCGCAGCAGUGAGGAAUAUUGGUCAAUGGCCGAGAGGCUGAACCAGCCAAGUCGCGUGAGGGAUGACGGCCCUACGGGUUGUAAACCUCUUUUGUCGGGGAGCAAGACCCGCCACGAGUGGCGGAGCGAGAGUACCCGAAGAAAAAGCAUCGGCUAACUUCGUGCCAGCAGCCGCGGUAAUACGGAGGAUGCGAGCGUUAUCCGGAUUUAUUUGGGUUAAAGGGUGCGCAGGCGGACCAUCAAGUCAGCGGGAAAAUCGUGGGGCCCAACCCCAUCCCGCCGUUG